AGUGGACGCUGGCGGUAGGCCUAACACAUGCAAGUCGAACGGCAGCACAGUAAGAGCUUGCUCUUACGGGUGGCGAGUGGCGGACGGGUGAGGAAUACAUCGGAAUCUACUUUUUCGUGGGGGAUAACGUAGGGAAACUUACGCUAAUACCGCAUACGACCUACGGGUGAAAGCAGGGGAUCUUCGGACCUUGCGCGAUUGAAUGGGCCGAUGUCGGAUUAGCUAGUUGGCGGGGUAAAGGCCCACCAAGGCGACGAUCCGUAGCUGGUCUGAGAGGAUGAUCAGCCACACUGGAACUGAGACACGGUCCAGACUCCUACGGGAGGCAGCAGUGGGGAAUAUUGGACAAAGGGCGCAAGCCUGAUCCAGCCAUACCGCGUGGGUGAAGAAGGCCUUCGGGUUGUAAAGCCCUUUUGUUGGGAAAGAAAAGCAGCAGGUUAAUACCCCGCUGUUCUGACGGUACCCAAAGAAUAAGCACCGGCUAACUUCGUG
rnacentral:rRNA from 1 species